UUUUAAUUGUGCCUUGAGUUGUCAAAUAGAACAUUUGUGGUUUUGAAGCUGAUGUAUGUGAUGACGCAAUGAGGGGGCGUCACUAAAUAUACUCUGAUGCAUAUAAAACUGUAUUUUGAUGUUAGGAGGAUGAGAUUGUGGGGCUGUCUGCUUACAGAGUCCGCUCAUUCUCCCACGCGUGUCAUUUCAUUAAAAUCAUCGUCUUUACCCUUUGGACCAGUGUGGUUACUUGCAUUCCUCCUGUGUUUCCUUCCCUAUAUUUUUGAACCUUAACAUUUGGGGGCUUCGUCCGAGGGGAAGUGAGACAGGACGGAGAAAGGUCCGAGGCGUCAGGCGCUCAGGCAUUGGUCAGUGGUCAAAGUGAGUGACAAGCCGGCAUAUAACAAAAAGAACCAGUGUGUCCCCUAGAUCUGAUAACACCCUUGCCCAGUUGGCUCCUGUAGUAGGCGGGCAUGGAAGGCUGGACAGCCCAUGACGGGUAAGAUCCCACCUCGAAACCCUGGGACAACCUAAGGCAAGGCGCAGUCACGAUUGCUCGAACCUAAGUCCCGGAGUGACCUUGGAGUCACUGGAGGAGACGGGAUUUAACAGGUAAGGCCACUGGGCACAGGCGGAGGGGAAAUGUCAUUAACAAUGACCAGUGAUGAACCAGAGAGAGAAAAUACACCCUGUCAAAAGGAGUUUGGAACACUGGAAAAGAAACAUUUACAAGAUCACAAAGAUCAUAAAGAAACAUUUAUAAGAAUCACACAUACAAACAGAAAAUGCACUAACCUUACAGAGACAAGCUCAUGAAGAUUAAUGAACAGAUAAUGACUUAAAACCUGGCUAAGAACACAAACAUACGUAAUUAAAUCAGCCUGCUAAUUUCAUGAGGGUUAAAAUGGUGUGAAUGGUUAAUACAAUUGAUGGAAAGAUUUAAAAAGAUGGAAAAACAAAAGAAAAGUCUCUAUAAGAGUGACUCAGGAGUGCUCUCGCACUGAUUUAUCAAAGUAAGUGAUUAGUAUAGAAAGAAAAUGAAAAUAAUUCAAUAAUGUGAUAAGGUUUAAACAUGUAUUCCUCUUGUUGAGUUGGCUGUUGAGCUGUGGGUUUAUGCAAAUUAGCUGGAGUGAGUGAGUGACAAAGACACUUCCUGUGUGCGUGUGUGUCGGAGGCUUUCAGUUCAAGAGAGAUCGGGGCUGAUGAAGAGUAUUGGGAGAAAUAUAUAAUGGUAAAGUAUCAGGAUAUUUGAUUACGGUGGUCAGGUCUGUUCAGAGGGGCAGAUUUGGACAGGAAAUUUAUAAUUUAAGGAUGAUACGUUGUUGAAAUUGGUUUUUAUCUUGUGCUGAAUGAAAACGGUCUUUGAUCUUUUGACGAGGUUUUCGGUGUGUUGAAUGGGUGAAAUUUAAGAUUGUUUUAGAUUUUUGAGGCUGUUGUUUCUAUUUCAAGAGAGGGAGUUUUGAUAAACAUGGACAUGUCUAAAAGGGCCCAUAGUUUUUGUAACAGUGCACUUAGAGAAAAAACCUGUCAGGUGAUUUUGUUUUGUACUUUGAUGAGCUAAUAAUUAGCUCUCUUUUUCAUUUUUGUUCUAAGCAGGCCUGGAAGAGAGUGAACCGACGACGCUGACAAAGUUACCAAGUACGAAAAUCAGGUGGGCAGUACGGAUUAUAAUUGAUUACAAUCAGAGACUGAUUGGCGGCGAGUCUCUGUCUAAAAAUGGGUUGUAUCGAUUCAAUCCAGUCAAAAGUAUAGAGA
ensembl:lncRNA